UGUUAGAAAUGACUCCUCUCUCUUUUCUGGAAAAAGAGAUAGUUGAGGAAAUGAGGGAAAAAUGUUCUCUCUGAAUAUUACCCAAAUCCUCAUCUCUUCCCCAGGAAGGCUAGACUGAGAUUCAGGGAUGAAUUCACAAAGGCAUUCGUCUUCGUGUGGUCACAGAGGAGUGAUCAGGUAGGAGCUACUGAAGUGCCGGAGCAAAUUAGGUGUGUCCACAUUCGGAGUUUCUUGCUUCGCCCUGACUCUUUCUGAAGUGAAUCCAUCACCUGCCAACCUUGCUGUGCUUGGGUUUGCAUCAAGGAGCAGCCCCAGAGGAUGCAGACUGAACUUUUCCAUGAGCUUCACCCAGAAGUUGAGUUUUCAAUACACAAGGCCAGACUGGAGUUGACUCGUUAUCAACUUGCCCUGAAAUUCACGUAGUGCGGAUGUCGGGUCUUGAGCAUCAAAGUUUUUGGCCUGUAAAUCUAUUGCUGUGGGGAUGUGUUACUUGUUAACAAAGAUACUGCUUUGGCUGUUCCUUUCCAACUGAAAUCCAGUGGCACUUAGCGGUAUCGCAAAUCCUGCUAGGUGUCUUUGUAAACACCAUUAAGAAAAGAGCCUCAAUAUCUGAAUAUUUUUUAUACAUAACUGGCAUUUAUUUAUAUCUCAAA